rnacentral:sRNA from 1 species
GCCUCGCGCCCGCAGCCGGGCUGGGCCAGAACAGCCCAAGAUGGCCGACUUCGAUGAUCGUGUGUCGGAUGAGGAGAAGGUACGCAUAGCUGCUAAAUUCAUCACUCAUGCACCCCCAGGGGAAUUUAAUGAAGUAUUCAAUGACGUUCGGCUACUACUUAAUAAUGACAAUCUCCUCAGGGAAGGGGCAGCACAGUAAGUAUCUUUCCAAAUCCACUUAGAAUGUUACUCUAACGUUGGAUAAACUAUGUUGACAGUAAACUAGACCCUGAAAACGAAGUUUAAAAUACUUCAAAGUAAAGCAGUUGGUUUUAGCAAUUUUCAUUGUUUUUUUUUUUAAUUGGGGAAAACAUGUUCCCUCAAUUGUUGUUUACUUCCUCAAAGCUUACUAUAAUAUAUGAACUAGUUUUUAUUUCUGCCCACAUUUGCCCCAUUAAAGCAGAGUUUAAUGUUAGCUGUUAGGUUUUCAUUUAUAGUUGUUCUAGUUGUGCUGAAUUUUUUUAAACAGCUAGCUAUACAUGGGAAUGAUCUGCCAGUGAGGAAUGAUAAAGUGCCUUAAUAGUUAAAAUUAACCAUAGGAUAAAAGCAUGAUUAGGUUACCUAGUCAUUGACUCCUUACCACUCUGAAGCUAAUUAAUCUUUCUAAAAUAUUUUCAUUGUGUCCUUGCCUUCAAAAAUAUUACGGUGGUGUCUCUUUUUUUUUUUUUUUUGAUAUCGUC